UACGGAGGGGGCUAGCGUUAUUCGGAAUUACUGGGCGUAAAGCGCACGUAGGCGGCUUUGUAAGUCAGAGGUGAAAGCCUGGAGCUCAACUCCAGAACUGCCUUUGAGACUGCAUCGCUUGAAUCCAGGAGAGGUGAGUGGAAUUCCGAGUGUAGAGGUGAAAUUCGUAGAUAUUCGGAAGAACACCAGUGGCGAAGGCGGCUCACUGGACUGGUAUUGACGCUGAGGUGCGAAAGCGUGGGGAGCAAACAGGGA
rnacentral:rRNA from 1 species